AAGUCGUAACAAGGUUUCCGUAGGUGAACCUGCGGAAGGAUCAUUACCAAAUAUGUGUGAUUGUGCUUUUGCACGAUCAUAUAAGUGCUUGCACCGUGGUGCAUUGCAUAAACGCUUUAUUGUCAUAAUUUUUGUGAUCAUUUAAUAUCAAAAAUCACUUUUAACAAUGGAUCUCUAGGCUCUU
rnacentral:misc_RNA from 1 species